AAUAAUUUGCAGUUUUAUACCUAUUAAAUUACAAAAGUAUUUGGUAAUUCCCUAUGCUGAAGAAACUAAGUGAAGCACCAAGUGAGUUUUUGGUGCUGAUGCAAACUGGUAACCCAUUUCGUUCAAUUUCACGACUAUCCACUCCAUUCAAAUCAGUAUGUGUCAGGGUAAACUACAACACUUUGGAACAUAGCUCCCACUGUGAGAACUUAUCCUCUAGGAAUAAUUCCAAUCAAAGAUAUUCAAGGCUAGGGAUAUGCGGGAUACGGCCCAGGAAUCAGGACAGUCUCUAAAAUCACACGACCUCACACCACACACUGGGGGAACUCUGCCUUUCACUGCGGUCCACAGUGGCCAGCACACAGCCCCGGGGCCCGGGUCUGCCAACACCAACCUCCCCGCCAGCUUGACCGCAUCUGAGAAGGCAGUGUGAGGCUCUUCUCUGGGGACAGUGGCACCCUGGUUGAGUUGACAAGGCCAAGCCAAUAAAUAAAACACGGAAGGAGGGGGACUGAAGUUUCACUGCGAGUGGAGAGGCUUUAGCGCUUUAUCUCAGGUUUUUCACAUUCUGAUAAACUGUAACACACACAGAUGCAUAGCUGCAAGGCCUCCACAGCAGGGCAGCACUUAAAACUGUUACACCUAAAAGAGAAAACCUGGCCACAGCACUUGAAACAAUAAAGAGGAACUAAACUCAGCUCCCCUGUGAGAAACUUACACUCCAGCCUGCCACAGUACUGCUCCACCUCCCGUUCACACAACCUCCUUAAAAGCAGCUUUUUCACCGUAAACCUGAGACCUGAAGAUGAAGGAAAAGCCGAAGCGCCAAGAUCUACUUGGAACGGUCCCGCUCUCCGGCGUCUGCUCUGCCACCCAGUGUGCCCACCUCGGGACAGGGUGGCCUGGGGAAGCUCCCCCACACCGCACCGGAGCUCUAAAACCGGCCCAUCUUCUGCUUCUGGGGAACCCGCAACUUGGGGACGUCGAAGCUUAGUUACAAAGCAGGAGGGAGGGCGGUGUGGCUCCUCCGAGGGGAAGGUGAGCUCCUGGCGAUCUCAGCGAGGGCCCUGAAGUCCCAAGCCAAAGCCAGCCGCAGUGCGACCCUCGCGGCAAGUCCCGGCAAGGAUCUGCUCUGAGCCCCGAAGCCGGCGCAAGGAGUCACCUCAGCUCCCCAGCCACCCUUACGAAGUGCUCACCAGGUGGCCACAGCCCGGUGUGACCCGCCACGCCCGCGCCUGCUCCCCGCCCUCCCCGCUGCAGUUCCGGAAACACGGGGAGGCGGGUGGAUCCCACGCUGGCUCCCAGGCUGCUGCCCGGCAGGCUCGCCCCUCCCUCCCCUCCCGCGACGGUGGCGGUGACGCAUGCCGGUGGCCCCUUUCCCCUUCCUGCGUGUCUUCACGUUGCUGUCACCCUCUCCAAGUCCUCCCUGGCCGCCCCCAGCUCCUGCCACCGGGCCACGCUGCCUCACGCCCCUCGCUUCUCCACCGCAGGCACACGCUGUCCUCGCUGGACUCGGUCUUGUGAUGCGAGUCCCCUGCUAGUGCAGGCGCCGGGAAUCGAGGGUUCUGUCCCCGCUGGAUGUUCUUUCGGGUAUGCAACAAGCACUGGGAUGGGCGCGUAAACCCCGCGGACGGCGCUGCAUUUUACAGGCAAGACACCGAAGCACAGGGAGGUCAGUCACUCCCCACCCAGGCCACACAGCCCCUGAAUGACAAAGCCAAGAUGCCGACCCGAGCCUGAUUCCCUCCAGGCCUGGACUCAGCACCGUGUGCCCUGGCCACAUCCUCAGCAGCACCCAGACAAGCAUGCUCCCAACUCAGGCCGUACGGUGUACUCCUCGUCCCUGCUGGACUCGCACGCCGAUCCCUCCGGUCUGCUGAGUGCUGGCACACACAGCCCCUGAAACCAGUGAGUCCUCUCGCUUCCGGCUGAGCCCACUCGCUCCCCCUUCCUCCUGCGGGAUGACUGACGGCUCGCUCGGCGAGGCCUGGGGUGGAAGCUACUUUGGCAGAGCGUGGGCACCGAACACUGUGUGGCACCCAGGCCGGGAAUAAACAGCCCUUCUGGGCUCCUCCCCAGCCCCUUCUCUCCUGGCCCAGCAGACCCAGAGCCCAGAUGGCCCCACUGGACGGUGAAGCUGAGUCCACAGGCGCCCGGGCCAGGAGCAGCCUUUGAAGGAAAUGCGGCACGAGGCAGCUAAGGAGCAGGAGAUGAGCACCAGGCAGAGGUCACCAGCGCUGUGGACAGACGAGGCAGGCACUGUGAUGGGACAGGGUCUCGCCUGCCCAGCUGCCCUGCUGGGCUGGCCAAGCUCACUAGGAAGCUGGCCUACUCCGCUGUCUGAGGCCUGGAGGGCAGGGUGGCCGCCAAUCGCACGCUGUCCUGGAGGCGGAAACGUUCUGCACAUGAAGCCGCGCAGACCUGUGUGCCUCAGAGUGGUCAGUUUCACAGGAGGCGAAUUCCACUUCAAUUCCAAACAAAGACGUCAGAAGGGUUCUGAGCAGUGACGCGACUCGUGUCAUUUUGGAAAAUCACCCUGGCUACUGCAUAGAGAUGGAGGAGGACAGGCGAGGAACACAAAGCAGGGGCAAAGCAGACGGGAACAGGGACAGGGGUCAGAGUUGACAGCAGAGCCAAGAAGAUGCACCCGAAGGCCGGGGUGUGGCCUGGGAAUGGAGGAGUGAAUUUGCACCUAAGCAGCUGGGUAGAGUGGUCCAGUUUACUGAGAGGGGAAGGCAGGAAAAGGGUAGCGAAGGGCCCACAGCUCAAACUCGAGACACCUACUGGACAUUAUACAGGGGCUCUAAGACUGGGGCGAAGUGGUGAACGCCUGUUAUUUGGCGCUCAGGGAGGCUGCAGCAGGAGGGCUCCAAGCUCAGGCCCAGCCUGGGCAAUCUGCCCCCUUGGCAAGAGCCUAUGUCAAAAUAAAAAACUGUUUAAAAGGCUUGGGAUGUAACUCCGGGAAAGCCCUGGGUUCGGUCCCCAGAAUUGAAAAAAAAGCCACAAGACUGGGUGAGAGCAGCUGGGGACAGAAAGGAAAGAGCCCGAGCCAGCAGGACACGACCAGACGCCCCUGAGCACCAGGACAUCCACAGGACGGCAGAACCUGGGCCGCCGGGCUUCAGGAAGGAGAUCUGAAUCUACAGGAGCUGCUCAGCAGGAGUGACCGGACCAGGACAGAAAGGAAGGAGCCAGGGAGACAGCGGGGCCCCUCCAGCCUCACCCACCCCGGCAGCAGAAAACCCCCGGGCCCCGCCUCACGCUCGCCUCCCUUCCUCUUCGCUGCAGUCCCUGUUUUGCUUUCUUCCUUGCAAAGAUGGUCGCAACGGUGCGGAGAGGGGAAAGGGGCUUUUAGGGGGUGGCUGUGGACUUGUCUCGAGAUCCCAGGGCACCGGCAAAAGGGAAACAAAAGGGAAAAUGAGGCACAGUGCCACACACCACGUUCUUCAUGCUGCUGCCGCCUUCCUGUUAUCUUUUUGACAAAUCUGCUUUCGAAAAUAGUGAAAGACUUCUUCAAAACUGUAACUUAGUUCCCUGAAUAAUAAAGUAAAAACAAGAUGAAACAGUUCUUGUUUUGUUUCGCUUGAGUGAAGUAGUUUUUACCAGCAGGUUGAAAAUUUAACAGAAUAGCCUAAAAAUUCUUUCUUAUAUCAACUGAGUCCUUUAAAACAACAACUUUGGCCUGGAGUCCACGAUCUUUAAUGAUAAGAAUAAACAAAACUAAGAAGUAUCCAGCAUUUGACACCAAAACAUUUCAGGAGAUUCAAAUGGUACUCGCCAUAUCCAUUGCAAAUGGGAAAUACAUAUUUUACGAAGCUAGGAAUUCACAUACAUAACACACACAGAAAAAGCCUGGAGCUCUGAUCGCCCGAGUAACGGCCUUCACACUGUAGUGGCAAGAUUAGGAAGUGAAUCUUUGCAAGCUUCUACACUUAAAUUUUCUAGAAUGAUUAUGUCCCAUCAUUUGUAUUAUAAAACUGACUUCUUUAGGGCUGGGGAUUUAGCUCAGUGGUUUCGCUGCCUGCCUAGCAAGCUCAAGGACUGGAGUUCGAUCCCUGGUACCAAAAAAAACUGACUUCUUUAAAGGAUCAAAGAAGAAAAUGAGAAGCUAUAUCUGGUGCCAUAUUUAUUCAUACGCAUUACUCCCUCCCAGGUCUCCGCUGGGAGGAAUGUCAAUAAAGACCCUUCAAUGCUACUUUUCUUAGGGUCAGUGGCUUCCUGAACUUUCGCCAGGGACCAAUAAAAACAAGCAAUCAAGAAACAGAUAUCAGCCCAACAUGGUGACACACGUCCAUAAUCCCAGGGCUCAGGAGGCUGAGGCAGGAAGAUCAUCAGGGGCUACAUAAUGAGACCCUGUCUCUAAAUGCAAUGACAACAACAACAACAGAAUGAAAGGGAGAACAGGAGCAAAGCUCUGACCCACGCCACACGGUGAACCUGGGAAUCUGACACCGUGAGACAGAAGCCAAACAGACUCGGAGCCCAGAGCCCGUGCGUGUGAAACACCAGAAGGACAGAGCCGGAGACAAGACACCGAUUAAGGGGAGGGAAGGACAGGGUGGUUAGUAAAGGUACAGGCUCGGGGAAGGCGACAAAAACAUCCCAGAAUUAAUGCUGAUGGCUUGAACAGACCCCAAUCCACUCCCGUCCGCUUCCCACAGGUGAAUUUUACAGUGUAUGAACCACGUCCCAUGUUUUCAAACUAUACCCACAAUAUGUGAGAGAUACAGAAACCUCUGGAGAUAAAAGUUACUCCUGAAAAUGUAGGGGAACAAUUGAGAUCUAAUGACAUGCUAAGACUGCAGGUAAAAUGGCAAUUAAACGUGAAGAAGGCGGCUGUGGCCUGAGGUGGACGGAGGCACAAAGGAACAGUGUUUAGAGUCUGCAGUAGCCUUCCUUCCAAAAUGCCACCUUGCCUUGAUACUUUGUAUCUUUUUAAAUGCUAUGUUCUCAAGGAAGCAGUGGUGACAUCCACAGCUUGCUUUCCACACAGAAGCCAGCAGAAUGGGGCUCCCGGGUUAAAUCCUGGGCGCUACGUGGGAAUCGGACUCUCCCAACCCAGCCACAAAAGUGGAUCUGUGAACACGGGAGGGAAAUUAUUUUCUCCAGGAGUGAGGCAGUAAUCAGCUCACAGCAACAGGGGCCACAGCCACCCGGGGACCGUGAGCAGCCAGGGUGUCGGGAAACGCUGCAGCGGCUGCCCGGGCUGCUUUUCUCCCGUGUGGAGACGCGAGUAUCAAUUCACAGUGACCACACAGACACUACAGUGAUAACUUCCCUCCAAAUUUAAACCUGGAGUGCCACUUCUCCUUGUAUGAGCCACAAGAAAAUGAGAUGACUCAAUAAACUCUAAAGCAUAUUUAAGAGCAGAGGAGAUUUAAAAAGAAAAACUAUCACAUAAGACAUGACAGAUGGUAAAACAUGGGGGAAAUAAAUGUAAACUAAAAUGAGGUACCACUUCCAGCUAUAACAUUGUCUUCAAUUAAGAGAUUCAGUACAGGCGCAGUUAUAGGAAAGCAAUUCACUCGGAGAUAUGCUGGCAGUGCAAUAAACUGUCAGAGACCCAGUUGGGAAAUGAAAUGAACUGUGUGUCGAGAGCCAGGAAUCAGAGCUGGGGUUUGGCUCAGUGGCAGAGCACUGGCCUAGCAUGAGCUGAAAGCCCAGAUUCGAUCC